AAUAAAAUAUUAACAAAAAAAAUUCCUCACGCGUUACUCUUUCUCUCACACUUAUCUCGCUCUUUGUUCUUUCCUAUCUCCAGAAAGCUAGCGUAGCUUUACACUUUCUCUCUCACUUUUCUCGCUCUUCUGUCUUUCCUAGCUCCAUAACUGAAGACCUAAGUUAAAGACCUGAAGAACUGAUCUCCAUAACUCGAAUUUCAUCAAGUCAGAUUUCUGAAAGAGAUGAAGAGCUGAAGAUACAGAGGUGGGGAUGGAAAAAAUGAAAAGUGGAAGCUGAAGAACUAAAGUGCUGAGAUUUUGUGAAGAUUUGUUUACUAGAGGAAUUGAUAUUCAAGCAGUUAACGUUGUUAUCAAUUUUGAUUUCCCUAAGAACUUAGAAACGUAUUUGCACAAGGUUGGAUGAUCAUGGAGAUUUGUGAAGCUUGGUUUAGCUGUUAGCCUGGUUAUUUUUGAGGAUCACUUCACUUUGUGAUACUAGAUGGAUCAAUCAUAGAGAAUGGGAUAUCAAGUUGAAUGUUUAAGAUGAUAUGGAUUGCUCACGUGAUGAUAUUGCUGGAUUGUUGAAUGAUCAAUUUAGAGAUGUUGCACAGGCAGAAGGAGCUUAUAAUGGUCCAAAUGAAGAAGCAAAGAAAUACUAUAACUUCGUUGUAGAGGCAAGCCAUGAAUUAUAUCCUGGUUUUACAGUAUUCUCUGAAUUGUCAUUCACACUUCGUUCAUAUUUGUUGAAGUUUCUACACACAUGGAGCAAUGAAUCAUUCACUUCUCUUUUAGAUUAAUUAAAAGAGGUGAUGCCCGAGUUGAACAUUCCUCCCUCUUACAAUAAAACCAAGUCUACGGUUAACAAUCUUGUCCUUGAUUAUGAUAAAAUUGAUGCAUGUCCAAAUGAUUGCAUGUUAUUUAAGAAUGAUCAUAAGGAUGAUGAAUUUUGUCAUACUUGCGGAGCUUUAUGAUAAAUUAAAAAUUCUGAAGUUGAUGGUGAGGUUGAGUCUUAAAAAUCACAUCGAGUUUCAGCAAAAACUUUGAGACACUUUCCAUUAAUUCCUACAAUCAAAAGGUUAUUUAUGUGCUCAAAGACGACAAACUCUUUGAGGUUGUAUGACGAGGAGCAUUCAAAAUAUGGAGAGUUAAGGAAUCCCGCUGAUGGUCAAGAUGGAUCAUUUUAUAAGUUGCAUUCAGAUUUCGCACUAGAUUCUCACAAUGUGAGACUUGGAUUAGCAAGUGAUGGGUUCAAUCCAUUACGAACCAUGAGUAUAUGUCAUAGCACAUGGAAAGUUAUGUUGAUGAUGUAUAAUCUGCUGCCUUGAAUGUGCAUAAAAUCUGAAUACUCUAUACUUUCUUUGCUUAUACGUGGGCCACGACCACCUGGAAAUGACAUUGAUGUUUACUUACAGCAAUUGAUAGAUGAGUUAAAAUUGUUGUGGAAUUCUAGGGUUGAAACAUAUGAUGCUUCAAGAAAUCAAACUUUUUAAAUGCGAGCAGCUAUUAUGUGGACAAUCAAUGACUUUCCUUCAUAUGCUAUGUUAUCUGGAUGAAGUACAAAAGGAAAGUUUGCUUGCCCUUGUUUUAAUUAUAACACUAAUUCUCACUAUCUUAAGCAUAGUCGGAAAAUGUGUUACAUGGAUCCGUGUUUUUCUACCCACGGAUCAUCCAUGGAGAUGUAACAAAAAAUCUUUCAAUGGAAAAACUGAAUUCAUGCCUCCUCCACCUUUAUUAAAGGAAACUGAUGUGCUUCAUAACUUACGGUUUUGAAAAUGUGUAUGGAAAGAAGAGAAAGAGAUCAAAUUAUGGCCCAUGGAAAAAAAGAGAGCAUAUGCAAGAGAUUAAUAAUCAUCUGCGAAGAUCUAAAUGGAGCAAGGCUAAGGAUCAUUGUCAAAACUUCUCUCAAUGGUUUGAAACCAGUGUUUUGCAAGAGGAUGUGCUUUGUUUGAUAAAACAACUGUCUAGAGAACCAAAUGUUGUUGCUAAAAGAUACUCUAGGUAACUCAUGAAUGGAUAUAGUUUCCAUAUUAGGCAGCGUGAUACAAGACGCAAAACACAAAGUAAUGGUAUUACAUUUGUUGUCUGAAUUACGAGCUUUGCAAGCUUAAAGGAUAAGAACCCGACUGCUGCAUAUUUGACUUAUUCUGGUAGAAUAGUUGACAUAGUUAUGUUAGGCUAUUAUUGUAAUUUUAAGGUUGUUCUUUUUAAUUGUGAUUAAUAUGUGGUUAAGAAA